rnacentral:rRNA from 1 species
GAUGAACGCUGACAGAAUGCUUAACACAUGCAAGUCGAUUCGAUUUACCUUCGGGUAUUGAGGAUGGCGGACGGGUGAGUAACGCGUAAGGAACUUGCCUCUUGGUCUGGGACAACUGUUGGAAACGACAGCUAAUACCGGAUAUUAUGAGAUUCUCGCAUGGGAAACUUAUGAAAGCUAUAUGCGCCAAGAGAGAGCCUUGCGUUCCAUUAGCUAGUUGGUGGGGUAACGGCCCACCAAGGCGACGAUGGAUAGCCGGCCUGAGAGGGUGAACGGCCACAAGGGGACUGAGACACGGCCCUUACUCCUACGGGAGGCAGCAGUGGGGAAUAUUGGACAAUGGGCCACAAGCCUGAUCCAGCAAUUCUGUGUGCACGAUGAAGGUCUUCGGAUUGUAAAGUGCUUUCAGUUGGGAAGAAGAAAGUGACGGUACCAACAGAAGAAGCGACGGCUAAAUACGUGCCAGCAGCCGCGGUAAUACGUAUGUCGCAAGCGUUAUCCGGAUUUAUUGGGCGUAAAGCGCGUCUAGGCGGAAAAAUAAGUCUGAUGUUAAAAUGCGGGGCUCAACUCCGUAUUGCGUUGGAAACUGUUUUUCUAGAGUACUGGAGAGGUGGGCGGAACUACAAGUGUAGAGGUGAAAUUCNUANAUAUUUGUAGGAAUGCCGAUGGAGAANUCAGCUCACUGGACAGAUACUGAC